AUUGAACGCUGGCGGCAGGCCUAACAAAUGCAAGUCGAACGGUAACAGGAAAAGGCUUGCUUCUUUGCUAACGGGUGGCGGACGGGGGAGAAAGGUCUGGGAAACUGCCGGAUGGGGGGGGAUACCUCCUGAAAAGGUUGCCAAAACCCGCUUACCGUCGAAAAACCAAAGAGGGGGACCUUGGGGCCUCUUGCCAUCGGAUGUGCCCAGAUGGGAUUAGCUAGUAGGUGGGGUAACGGCUCACCUAGGCGACGAUCCCUAGCUGGUCUGAGAGGAUGACCAGCCACACUGGAACUGAGACACGGUCCAGACUCCUACGGGAGGCAGCAGUGGGGAAUAUUGCACAAUGGGCGCAAGCCUGAUGCAGCCAUGCCGCGUGUAUGAAGAAGGCCUUCGGGUUGUAAAGUACUUUCAGCGGGGAGGAAGGGAGUAAAGUUAAUACCUUUGCUCAUUGACGUUACCCGCAGAAGAAGCACCGGCUAACUCCGUG
rnacentral:rRNA from 1 species